rnacentral:rRNA from 1 species
CCCUUAGAUGUUCUGGGCCGCACGCGCGCUACACUGUUCGACGCAGCGAGUCUUAACCUUGACCGAAAGGUUUGGGUAAUCUUCAGCAAAGUCGAACGUGAUGGGGAUCGAUCAUUGCAAUUAUUGAUCGCGAACGAGGAAUUCCUAGUAAGUGCAAGUCAUCAGCUUGCGCUGAUUACGUCCCUGCCCUUUGUACACACCGCCCGUCGCUACUACCGAUUGAAUGGUUUAGUGAGAUCUCUGGAUUGACGCUGGCUAGGGGGCGACCCUUGGCCAGGCUGUCGAGAAACUGCUCAAACUUGAUCAUUUAGAGGAAGUAAAAGUCGUAACA